GCCGGGCUAGGCCAGGGCUGGCCGAUCACCUCGGGCGGGGUCGGCGUGGUCGACGUCCGCGACCUGGCGGUGGUCCUGACCCGCACCCUGGAA
rnacentral:tRNA from 1 species